rnacentral:rRNA from 1 species
GUCGAGAAUCAUUCGCAAUGGGCGAAAGCCUGACGAUGCGACGCCGCGUGGAGGAUGAAGGCCCUCGGGUCGUAAACUCCUGUCAUGGGUUAAGAAGUGCCGACGGGCUAAUACCCCGGCGGCUUGACAAAGGCUCAAGAGGAAGCCACGGCUAACUACGUGCCAGCAGCUGCGGUAAUACGUAGGUGGCAAGCGUUGUUCGGAAUCACUGGGCAUAAAGGGCGUGUAGGCGGUUCGGCAAGUCGUAGGUGAAAGCCCUCGGCUCAACCGAGGAAUUGCCGUCGAUACUGCCGGACUCGAGUGCGGGAGGGGAGAGUGGAACUCUUGGUGGAGCGGUGAAAUGCGUUGAUAUCAAGAGGAACGCCGGCGGCGAAAGCGACUCUCUAGUCCGCUACUGACGCUGAGGCGCGAAAGCCAGGGGAGCAAACGGGAUUAGAAACCCUAGUAGUCC